AGAGUUUGAUCCUGGCUCAGGACGAACGCUGGCGGCGUGCUUAACACAUGCAAGUCGUACGAACCUUGGAGAGCUUGCUCUUCAAGGCUAGUGGCGGACGGGUGCGUAACACGUGAGCAACUUGUCCUACGGUGGGGGAUAGCCGGCCCAACGGCCGGGUAAUACCGCGUAUUGCAUCGGCACCGCAUGAUGCUGAUGUGAAAGCGGCCGCAAGGUCGCGCCGGAGGAGGGGCUCGCGGCGUAUCAGCUUGUUGGUGGGGUAACGGCCUACCAAGGCUACGACGCGUAGCUGGUCUGAGAGGAUGAUCAGCCACAUUGGGACUGAGAUACGGCCCAGACUCCUACGGGAGGCAGCAGUGGGGAAUAUUGCGCAAUGGCCGCAAGGCUGACGCAGCGACGCCGUGUGUGGGAUGAAGGCCCUCGGGUUGUAAACCACUGUCAGGAGGGACGAAUACUCGGCUUCAAAUAGUUGACCGAGGGUGACGGUACCUCCAGAGGAAGCACCGGCUAACCCCGUGCCAGCAGCCGCGGUAAUACGGGGGGUGCAAGCGUUGUCCGGAUUCACUGGGCGUAAAGCGCGCGUAGGCGGCUCUGUAAGUCAUCUGUGAAAUCCCGGGGCUCAACUCCGGGGCUGCAGGUGAUACUGCAG
rnacentral:rRNA from 1 species